UUGGGUUGAGGAGUUAAGGAGUAUAUGAUUACUAGCUGAGUAAAUUUAAUUUCCAAAGUAAAUUAAUUCAUUAUGUAUAGGAAAUGUUGUACAUGAAACAAUAACGUGAAGUGAUAUUUUUUUUUUAAAAAAAAGUCGUUUCCUUUUCUUCAUUGGAAAUUAAAGAGAUUUAAAAAAAAUAAUUAAGGUUCGUCUUUAAUUUCCUUUGUUUCAUUUUCUUUUCUCAUUUUUCCAUGGCUUGAACGGAAUACGAAUAGAAUACUUGAUACAAUGACACAUUAAAAAGCAUUUAGUAUUUC
rnacentral:lncRNA from 1 species